AUUCUUUUGUGGUUCAUAAGCAUUUUGAUUGGGUUUUCAUGCUAUUGUGUGAGAUGUGCCUCUCUGUAAACCUUGUUAUAACAUCAGCACAUUAACCAUCUGAUG